UACGGAGGGUGCAAGCGUUAUCCGGAUUUACUGGGUUUAAAGGGUGCGUAGGCGGGCUUUUAAGUCAGCGGUGAAAGCUUCGAGCUUAACUCGGAAAUUGCCGUUGAUACUAUUAGUCUUGAAUUAAGUUGAGGUGGGCGGAAUGUGUCAUGUAGCGGUGAAAUGCUUAGAUAUGACACAGAACACCGAUUGCGAAGGCAGCUCGCUGAACUUAUAUUGACGCUGAGGCACGAAAGCGUGGGGAUCAAACAGG
rnacentral:rRNA from 1 species